rnacentral:rRNA from 1 species
GACGAACGCUGGCGGCGUGCCUAAUACAUGCAAGUCGAGCGGACAGAAGGGAGCUUGCUCCCGGAAGUUAGCGGCGGACGGGUGAGUAGCACGUGGGCAACCUACCCUGUAGAUCGGGAUAACAUCGAGAAAUCGGUGCUAAUACCGGAUAAUCAUUUGAAGUGCAUGCUUCGAAUGUAAAAGAUGGCUCCGGCUAUCACUACGGGAUGGGCCCGCGGCGCAUUAGCUGGUUGGUAAGGUAAUGGCUUACCAAGGCAACGAUGCGUAGCCGACCUGAGAGGGUGAUCGGCCACACUGGGACUGAGACACGGCCCAGACUCCUACGGGAGGCAGCAGUAGGGAAUCUUCCGCAAUGGACGAGAGUCUGACGGAGCAACGCCGCGUGAGUGAUGAAGGUUUUCGGAUCGUAAAGCUCUGUUGUUAGGGAAGAACAAGUGCCGUUUGAAUAAGGCGGCACCUUGACGGUACCUAACCAGAAAGCCACGGCUAACUACGUGCCAGCCGCCGCCGUAAAAC